rnacentral:lncRNA from 1 species
CUGGUCACCAAUGUGCCCUCAACGCCCACAUAAUGUUAAAGGGGGCUGUUGUGUUAUGAUUAAUGAAUUCUUGUAUGGUGUCCUCUCUUAUAGGUGUGGGGUGGGAAUAAAAUAGAAGUCAGAGGUAACCAAGCAAAAUGCUUGUACUGGGUGUUCACCUGGGUGCAACUCUGCAGGGGGUUGAGAGCUUGGCUUGGGGUCAGACAGAGCUGGGUCCCAAUAUGUGCUGUGGGUCCUGGUGAAUAAGUUAUACAUUGCCUAUUGGAUCUUUGGCAAAGUGUUUAACUUCUCUAAGCCUCAGUUUCCUCAUCUAGAUGAUGGGGAUCACAGCCUCCCUUCCUUGCAGGACUGUUGGGAGGAGGAUGUGAGAUGAUGCCUAUAAAAUGCUUGGGAAGUCCUAAACGCAGUGAAUAACUUCUCUUAGUUAUAUAUAAACACGGGGCUGGCCCCCUCAAAGGACUUGCAGUUUCAUUAGAGACUGGGGAGCAGUCAAUGUAGAGCCAGGUGGAAAUACUCCAUUCCUGAGAGGGGCCAGAAGGCCUCGGAGGAAGGGAGGAAGAUCUGGGUACCAGGUGCUGUUCGCCGCGGAGGUGGGACGGAAACGGGGCUGUCCUUGGCCCAUCAUCAUCUCCGUUCACACUACACUUGAUUUACAGAACCCAUUCCCAUCGCUGUCUCAUUUGAUCCCCACGUCACAGUAGAGCAGGUAUGCCUUUCCCCACGAUGAGUAAAGAGAGGCUCAGAGACGUUGAUGGACAUAAAGAGCAGUAAGGAGGGGCAGGACCAGACUCUCAUCCCGGUCUCCUAACUCUAAAGUCACUCCAACUUUCCAAGAAGCAGAAUGUGGAAAGGAACAAGGAGAUAAAAGAGCAUGGGCUGAGAAGAGUCCAGCAGCUUCCGGAGGGUGACUCACCACCGAGAGCAUCUGAUGGAAAGGCUUUUUAUCUGGAUGCCUGGCACCAGGCGAAGCGUUCCUCCGCGGUGGGCUCGGACCCGGAGAACAGCGCUUCUGAGCCGUUCCUUUACCAGCAGAGACUUCCAUGGAAGCUCUCCGUCUGCUUCCAGCCUCCCAUUUCCAGCUGCCCUCAGGAAAUUGCCACUGGAUGUCCCCAAGGCACCUCCAACGCCACGAGCCUGAAACAAAGCACAUCCUCUCCUCUGUGCCGAGACCCCCUUCCUGCUGAAGGCGCCCUUAUCCUCCCAGCCCGUGGAGCU